rnacentral:rRNA from 1 species
UACAGAGGGGGCAAGCGUUAUUCGGAAUUAUUGGGCGUAAAGGGCGCGUAGGCGGCUUUGCAAGUGACGGGUGAAAUCCCUCGGCUUAACCGAGGAACUGCCUGUCAGACUGCAUGGCUUGAGACCGGGAGAGGUGAGUGGAAUUCCCAGUGUAGCGGUGAAAUGCGUAGAUAUUCGCAAGAACACCAGUGGCGAAGGCGGCUCACUGGCCCGAUACUGACGCUGAGGCACGAAAGCGUGGGGAGCAAACAGG